rnacentral:rRNA from 1 species
AUGUCGGGUCGCCGGAAACAUGAGCGGAGAUGUAAUGGAGCUUCGCCGGAUGCCGUCGGUGCUGCGUUGGAGCUCCGUCGGGGCUACAAUCGAGCUUCGUCGGACGACUUUGGUGCUGCAUUGGAGCUCCGUCGGGGCUGCAAUGGAGCUGUCGCCGACGGCUCACGGUGCUGCCUUGCAGCGCUCUCCGACUACUGUCGAAGCUACAGUGCAGCGCUUGGUGCUCCAAUGGAGCUCUCGCCGGCGGCUGCAGGUGCUACGUUGAAGCGCUCACCGGCGGGCUUGAAGCGGCAGUGCAGCGCUCGGUGCUCCAAUGGAGCUCUCGCCGGCAGCUCCCGGUGUUGCAUUGCUGGGCUCGGCGGCGGCUCCCGGAGCUACGAUGCAAAGCCGGCGGCAGCUCCGUUGUUGCAAUGCUAA